rnacentral:rRNA from 1 species
UACGUAGGGUGCGAGCGUUGUCCGGAAUUAUUGGGCGUAAAGAGCUCGUAGGCGGUCCAUUAAGUCGGAAGUGAAAUCUCAGGGCUCAACCCUGAAAUUGCUUUCGAUACUGGUGGACUUGAGGCAGGUAGGGGAAGGUGGAAUUCCUGGUGUAGCGGUGAAAUGCGCAGAUAUCAGGAGGAACACCAGUGGCGAAGGCGGCCUUCUGGGCCUGUUCUGACGCUGAGGAGCGAAAGCGUGGGGAGCAAACAGG